GGGGUUGUGGAUCAGCGGUAGAGCACUCGCCUAGCAUGUGCGAGGUGCUGGGUUUGAUCCUCAGCACCACA
rnacentral:tRNA from 1 species